AAUAUUUCACAAUGGGGGAAACCCUGAUGCAGCGACGCCGCGUGAGGGAAGAAGGCUUUCGGUUUGUCAAGCUCUAUCAGCAGGGAAGAAAAUGACGGUACCUGACUAAGAAGCCACGGCUAACUACGUGCCAGCACACGCGGUAAUACGUAGGGGGCAAGCGUUAUCCGGAUUUACUGGGUGUAAAGGGGGCGUAGGGGGGUCGGUAAGUCAGGUGGGAAAGCCCGGGGCUCAACCCCGGGAUUGCACUUGAAACUAGCGAACUUGAGUGCAGGAGAGGUAAGUGGAAUUCCUAGUGUAGCGGUGAAAUGCGUAGAUAUUAGGAGGAACACCAGUGGCGAAGGCGGCUUACUGGACUGUAACUGACACUGAGGCUCGAAAGCGUGGGGAGCAAACAGG
rnacentral:rRNA from 1 species